UACGGAGGAUCCGAGCGUUAUCCGGGUUUAUUGGGUUUAAAGGGAGCGUAGGCGGGUUGUUAAGUCAGUUGUGAAAGUUUGCGGCUCAACCGUAAAAUUGCAGUUGAUACUGGCAUCCUUGAGUACAGUAGAGGUAGGCGGAAUUCGUGGUGUAGCGGUGAAAUGCUUAGAUAUCACGAAGAACUCCGAUUGCGAAGGCAGCCUGCUGGACUGUAACUGACGCUGAGGCUCGAAAGUGUGGGUAUCAAACAGG
rnacentral:rRNA from 1 species